CGUUGAAACACCAACUCCCAUACAAUCACUGAAGUUAAGCAACGUCGGUCCUGGUCAGUACCUAGAUGGUUGACCACUUGUUAAUACCAGGUGCUGUAA